CGCCAUCUUGGGAAAGGAAGGCCUAUCUUUUGGGCAGAACUUGACAUUGGGACAGGAUAUAGACCCUCUCAAAAAUGGAAAGAAUUGAACAGAACAAAAUGAACGAAAAGUAACAAAGAAAGUCAAUGGGAUCUAAUUGACAUGGAUUUUAACAAUGCUUGUAUUAAGCCCUUCAUAGGAGACACGUUUUCUUACCGUGAAUUCAACAGGAGAAGACACCUCAAUCUGGGAACCAGUAGCCGCAAGGCAUGGCAACCAGCGUUAUUGCUUCCAAAUGUCUCCUUCCAUCCCAGCAUGAAAGAUCUUCAGAUAUGGGAAGUGGGUGAGAACAAUGACAGCACCAUCAACAAAUAUACAGGGAGAUGGCUGCAGAACAUGGAAUGAAAUCUGAAUCGUCACCUUGUUGUCCUCUUCCAGCAUUGGACCCCCCCCUGCCCCACACACAAUGAUCUGGGGAAAAAGUUUUAACAAUCUUAGAUUAUUACUUUUUCCAUUCUCUGCUCCAGUGAAAUUUUGGAUGGAUAGUCAGUUAACAGGCAAUCUGACAACAAACACAAUCACUGCUUGGACUUGAGAAAUAACGUGAAGUGUAUUUAAAUUUAUUGCACAACAUGCUUAUUCCACUAAAACAUCCUAGCCCCAAAUCAAAACUGAUGUAGUGUAUUACGAUCCUGUUGGUAUAAUGAUAUUAUUGAAUCCCUAGCACACGGUCAUAAGAAGUUACUGGAGUCAGAUCAUUACAGUGCCUUUUUUGAAGGUUCUGGCAAAACGUGAGAGAUUGUUUGGUCAAAUUGGAGGGGAACUAAUUAAUUAUGAGUUAGCCUCUUUCUAGUAAGAGUUGGUGCUGAGCAUCACAGCUCAACAAUCGGCAGCAGGGGAGUCCACACGUGCUGGUGAAUGUCACCCUUAAUUUCUCCUAUGUACAGCAGAUCCAAAUUCAUUUCAUGGACCACCUCCACCAAAGCAACCGGUAGUAGAUGUUCAGCACGUGGCAUCGUUUGCAUAUCUCCAAUGAUUAACCAGGGACGCACGCAGGGACACACACACACACGAGCAACCACUGAAAAACUGCUGAUUACCUCAAUUUUAAAAAAAUGUGGCAGCCAGAACCAUGAAGACCACAUUCUCCGCACAUGCUUUCAUAAAUAAGGACAGGUCAUAACUUGCCAGAAUGGCCAGAAUACCUCCUUGGUAGCAGUCUGUGUUUUGCCACACUUGUGACACUGGGACCCAUACCAAUAGAAAUAGUGCUAAAAGACAACACUUGCAGUUACUAAUGAACUGGGCCAUCUUUCCAAAUGUUUCUUUCCAAUGCCAUUGUAGCAUCCCUGGUGAAAAAGAAUUGCAGCAACAUCUUAACUGCUUCCCUCACAACAAAUAAAAAAGGCCAAAAUCUUAUUAGUUUAGAAUUUGUGAACCAUAAUCUGUAAUCAAAACAGCCAGAAGAGCAGCAAUUGGGAUUGGAAUUGGAAUGUGGUUAUAAUUAAACUAACACACUGACUUCUAAUCUAAAAACAAUAAAUCAGGUCAUGCUACAAAACUUUCAGAUCCAAGCAUUUUCAGCACAGUCCAGAUUUGCUAUUGCCACCCUUCAUACCACUGCAUUGAGGGCAUCACGAAGGGUUGUCAUUACAUUAAAAUUUAUCACAUUGAAAAUUCUCACUACACCACAAUAAAAAUCAGCACUAAAAAUUACAAACUGGAAGCAUUAGCCAUCAACAUACUGGUAUUUACAGCACAGGUGAUGCACAUAUUUAAAUGCAACUGAGUCCAGCUCAGGACUUAGGGGAGUGAGACACUAUGGAAGUCAAUAUUAAGACUUUGUGGACAAGACACUGAAUUACUUCAACUGGAUGUGCCUCCAUUAGAUACCAUGGAGGAAGUUCCAAAACAAAUGAAGCUAAAAUUAAAAAGAUGCUGACAUACAAAGAUACUGUGUACUGCAGAAGUGGAAAGAACAUAUUGUAAUCUUCUAAUUGAAGACACCCAAAUAAUGCAAGUCCACUUUAUCUCCACUGCAAGCCAUGCCGUUGAUCAGAUCUUUUGUAUUUUGUUUUGGAUGGCGGGGGUUCAGUCACUGACAUACUCACAUUAAAAAGUAAUGAACAAUGUACAGGCAAACUUUCCAAAAUGAUACUAAACUGGCACAAACAAGUUUUUAAAAUUCUUUUUUCCAGUUCAGCUGUGCCUGAAACUAACACACUGAACUGAACCAUAAUUAAUCUCAACCACCUUUGAACAAGGAAGAAUGUUUGAUUCAGAAGCAGCUUAAAAAGGGGAUGAAAUUCCUUCAGUGCUAUCUUUAACACUCUGGUCAUAUGCCUAUAAAAAGUUUCCACGCAAACAUAAAAUAGUGUAAUAGCUGACCAAACGUGAUCAUCAAUUCAAACACAAGACUGUAUACAAAGGGCCCUUUUGUUUUCUUUUGAGUGAAUCAACCAGAUUGCUAAAAAAAGCUCUAGGAAAUACAACCCCUACAUUAUUUUAUCUAACACUAUCUGUUAAAAUAAUCUAGUUAAUAUUUAAUAUAGGCUGUCAUAAGCAAAAUGUAUUUCACAGUAGGAACAAGCUUGUUUGCUUCUAAAAACUAAAAAUCUGUACUUAACAGCUGAAUUGAAAAGAUGAUUAUCCAUGAUUGUAGUUCCAUAGUCAGGACAGCACCAACAGGGAAAGACACCACUGCACUUCUGAUCCAUCAUGGAUCACCACAAUUUUAGUACAAAUGUACUAACACCGAGGCUGGAAAUAGUUUGAAAUGAAAUCAGGAAACUCAUUUCUUCCCCCCACCCCCAAGAGGUUUAUGAACAGACAGGAAUUCAUCUUGCUUGGAAAAAUGGAGUCUCUGUCUUUAAGUGGAGCAUUCCUUCAUGAACAGCUUCAUCCACAAUAUACAGCCAGUACUUAAAAAGGAUCUAGGUAGUCAAAGUCAAGUAGAUUUCAGUUGUGACACAGUUACUGCAGCAAAGGUUCUAUUUGUUAAGAGUUAGGAGGACAUUUAAGCAUUCUAUUGUCAUGAGGGGCUCAAAAUGGAAGAGAUUAAGAAAGUUUAAGAGUUUUGUAACACCAGCAUAAUUGUCAGCUUUUACAUUAUAAUCAAGCAGUAGUAAUGAUCUCUCCUCCAAACCGCUCCUUAAAACUACCAAUGAAAUCAUAAUUAUGAUCAACUAUUUCCAAGUCUUCAGCAAAAACAAGGAAAAUAUUCUUGCUGUUCAGGAAGUCGCUUGAUUUUGCAGCCAUUGAAGUUAAUGAUUCUCUCUGUAUGAAAUUAAAGAACAUCAGUGACAGAAGUCAGUGUACUCUCAAUCAAGCAGAGAGGAGGAAUGAUUUCUAUUUGCUCAAAAGAAGUAGAUUAAGCAUUAUCUUGUCAUUUUGUGUCUGCUGGAUCCAUGAUUUUCACUGUGGAAAUAAGGCUCAACUACAUUAAAAAAUGAUGUCUGGGUUUGAUAAAUUGUCAGCUUACCUCAGUUCAAAAAAAUUAGGAAGAACAAGUUUUUGGCAAUGACCCACCCGUCAAAUUCUCUCUGCUUCUCCCAUCAAUUGGAAAUAGAGGCUGAUUGGGAAGGUAAAGCCAAUAAUUCAACAAAAUAAAAAAGGUUAUUCACUCACACCAUGGCACCAAAUAUAAUCUAAAGCAUCUUAUUCCAUUGUCAAAUUAAAUGUUACAACAGACCUAACUGUUUGGCAGAGCAGAUCUAGACAAUAUUACUGGCAUGCAAUCACCAUAUGAUAAAGAACAAGUUCCAAGCUGUGUUUAAAUGUUAUUUAUAAAUCAGAUGGAUAGCCAUUAAGUGUAAUCUUUUCUAAAAGAAAUUUUAAUGGAGAAUAUACAACAAACAUUUAUGGUGGUGCCUUCUUACCGAUAAGAUAUUGUGUAUUUCUUGGAAUAUUUAAGGAAGGGAAAGUAGGUUAACUAAAAAAUUUUUUUUUAAAACAAUGAAAAAAAGUGGAAGACCUACUUUUGGAUGCUUGCCAACAACA